UGGGGGAUAUUGCACAAUGGGGGAAACCCUGAUGCAGCGACGCCGCGUGAGGGAAGAAGGUCUUCGGAUUGUAAACCUUUGUCUUUGGGGACGAACACAAUGACGGUACCCAAGGAGGAAGCUCCGGCUAACUACGUGCCAGCAGCCGCGGUAAUACGUAGGGAGCAAGCGUUGUCCGGAAUUACUGGGUGUAAAGGGUGCGUAGGCGGGAACGCAAGUCAGAUGUGAAAUACGAAGGCUCAACCUUCGGGCUGCAUUUGAAACUGCGUUUCUUGAGUGAAGUAGAGGCAAGCGGAAUUCCUAGUGUAGCGGUGAAAUGCGUAGAUAUUAGGAGGAACACCAGUGGCGAAGGCGGCUUGCUGGGCUUUUACUGACGCUGAGGCACGAAAGUGUGGGGAGCAAACA
rnacentral:rRNA from 1 species